rnacentral:rRNA from 1 species
UACGUAGGGUGCAAGCGUUUGUCCGGAAUUAUUGGGCGUAAAGAGCUCGUAGGCGGUCUGUCGCGUCUGCUGUGAAAACUCAGGCUUAACCCUGAGCUUGCAGUGGGUACGGGCAGACUAGAGUGCGGUAGGGGAGACUGGAAUUCCUGGUGUAGCGGUGAAAUGCGCAGGUAUCAGGAGGAACGACCGGUGGCGAAGGCGGGUCUCUGGGCCGAUACUGACGCUGAGGAGCGAAAGCGUGGGGAGCGAACAGG